GUUUCUCACCAUGAACUUGGUGACUUCUCUUCUAAUCCCUUCUGGCUUUUGCAGCAUCAUUAGUUUUGUAGCAUCAGACACACAGAUUCUGCUCUGCAAUAGAGGAGGAAAGGUUAGGAGUUGCCCUUCUCUAAUGGAAGAAGCAGGAGGAAGCUCAACAUCUUGUUUGGAGUUGAAUGCCCAUCUUUAUAUCCAGAGAUUGUGCAGCUUGUUUAGGUAUCGAGACAUGAUUUCCAUUAUGCUUUUAUGAACCAUUAUAUACUGAUCAUCAUGCCACUGUUUCUCUUUCCUCCUCCUGUAGCUGUAGAUCUACUGCCAUGCUGCUGCUAUCACUGACUGCAUGUAUGAUUUGAUCAAAGGUUUAUGUUGGGAAUGGCAAGUCUGUCAUCAUGGAUGAUCAGUGAAUGAAGUGACCUUGAAGCAAGAACAAUGGCAAGCCAGAAGGGAAUCGUGAGGAUCACACAACUGUUCUUGAGUGGGAUAGAAUGAUCAAACAGUAAGUAAAGCUCUUUAGAUAAGUCUGUUGAUUGUUCUUUCCAAUGGUGGCUUACCUACCCAAGCACUACAGAAGAGAAUGUCCCUUGCAAGGAAUCUCCUCUGAGAAGAAAAGCUCCAUGAGUGCCUCUCUCCUUUUUCCUCUCCCCCUUUGGCAUCCCACCCAGCUGUGCUGUUGAAUCAUUAAGCUGCCUGUUAGAGUUAGGCCAUAUGUGUUUCCCCC
rnacentral:lncRNA from 1 species